CUCUCCUUAGAUCUUGCACCACUGUGGCUGCCCUGGAGUCUCCAAGCCUACUCUGUCUUGGGAGGCCGCCCGAGUUGUGCAUCUUUCAUUGCUUGAUGAAACUCCUUUAAAUUUAAUUCGGCUGAAGUUUUUCUUUUAUCCUGUGUAAUGACAAAAUAUCCAGUUGGAAAAGGGAAAAAAUGACGAUCCUCAAGAAGGUGGUUCGGGCAACACCAAGCCUCCAGCAGUGGGAAGAUCAACAUCAAGGUGACAUCAAUGCUGCUUUAGGUGGCAAGGCUCUAGAGCAGGGAUUUCCACAACUGAAUUCACAAGAAAGCCCCUUAGGUAACUCCGAUAUGCAGCAGGAUUUUGGAACUGGAGCUAUUGAAAACCUCGUUGAAGAUUAAUUAAUGCAAGAACCAGAGGAAUCAGGAGAGUAUUGAAGCUUCUUCAAGCAAAACGUUUUAUUUCCAGCAGCAUGUGGAAAAACAUAUUAUAGAUGUCUGUAUAAAAUAUCUAAAACAGCCAUCAGAAAUUUGGGAUGUAAUGUUUUUAAUAAACCAUAGAGUGCCUGUUUUAAAGAUGUUGAAGUCCUGGAGUAACUAAAAAGGAUAGGUGAAAUGAGUAAAUCUGUAGACACAGUGACACUUUUGUCACUUCUUGAAUCAUACUUUAAAUUAUUUGAGUAAUAAAUGUGGCCAGUGACUUCCAGAUAUUUAAGGAGCUACAAUCAGAGUGUGUAUGUGUCUGUGUGUGUGUGUUAGAGAAGCCCUACUUUCACUGUGAAUCCAGGGCCCAGAAAGGCUGACAUUUCUUGUAAUGUAUUUGGCUGGUGAAAAUAUGACAGCGUUCAGGCACCUACCCACUUUCAGUUUCACCAGACUCUCCCUCUCAUUGUUGUAGACUCCCUUACUCUUCAGGACUCAACAGAUUUCAUCUCUGCUGCAUCCAAUUUGCUCCCUUUAGUAGAGUGUAAUUAGAUGCAAAUACAAAUCACAGCUAUUGUCAGAAUUCAAAUGGGUUCUAAUGAGAAUUAAUAUUUUCCAUUUGUCAAAGUACUGAUUCAGAGCACAUAAUGAGGCAAAAAUUCAAAAUUAGGCAGAAGCCAGUUAUUUCUCAAGCAGAAAGAACUAUAUUUUAUUCAUCUUACAGAGAUUAGAAUUUUGCAAUCCAGAUAUCAGAGCUUUAUGCUAUAAAUGAUUUCUAAUUCCUCAACCAAAUCUUACUCUCCAUAAUAACAAUUGAACA
rnacentral:lncRNA from 1 species